GUUGUAUGGUUAAGUGACUAAGCGUACAUGGUGGAUGCCUUGGCAGUCAGAGGCGAUGAAGGACGUACUAACCUGCGAUAAGCUGUGAGAAGUCGGUAAGAGACGCUAUUACUCACAGAUUUCCGAAUGGGGAAACCCACCCGAGAUAACUCGGGUAUCUGUUACUGAAUACAUAGGUAACAGAGGCGAACCGGGAGAACUGAAACAUCUAAGUACCCCGAGGAAAAGAAAUCAACCGAGAUUCCCUCAGUAGCGGCGAGCGAACGGGGAUUAGCCCUUAAGCAUCUUGGAAGUUAGUGGAACGGUCCUGGAAAGGCCGGCGAUACAGGGUGAUAGCCCCGUACACGAAAACAACCUUGAUGUGAAAUCGAGUAGGGCGGGACACGUGACAUCCUGUCUGAAUAUGGGGGGACCAUCCUCCAAGGCUAAAUACUCCUGACUGACCGAUAGUGAACCAGUACCGUGAGGGAAAGGCGAAAAGAACCCCUGUGAGGGGAGUGAAAUAGAACCUGAAACCGUGUACGUACAAGCAGUGGGAGCCCUUCGGGGUGACUGCGUACCUUUUGUAUAAUGGGUCAGCGACUUACAUUUUGUAGCGAGGUUAACCGUAUAGGGGAGCCGUAGGGAAACCGAGUCUUAACUGGGCGUCUAGUUGCAAGGUGUAGACCCGAAACCGGGUGAUCUAGCCAUGGGCAGGUUGAAGGUUGAGUAACAUCAACUGGAGGACCGAACCCACUAACGUUGCAAAGUUAGGGGAUGACCUGUGGCUGGGGGUGAAAGGCCAAUCAAACUCGGAGAUAGCUGGUUCUCCCCGAAAGCUAUUUAGGUAGCGCCUCGGACGAAUACUACUGGGGGUAGAGCACUGUUUGGGCUAGGGGGUCAUCCCGACUUACCAACCCCAUGCAAACUCCGAAUACCAGUAAGUAAUAUCCGGGAGACACACGGCGGGUGCUAACGUCCGUCGUGAAGAGGGAAACAACCCAGACCGCCGGCUAAGGUCCCAAAGUUCUGGUUAAGUGGGAAACGAUGUGGGAAGGCUCAGACAGCUAGGAUGUUGGCUUAGAAGCAGCCAUCAUUUAAAGAAAGCGUAAUAGCUCACUAGUCGAGUCGGCCUGCGCGGAAGAUGUAACGGGGCUCAAACCAGGCACCGAAGCCGCGGAUUCACACUUAUGUGUGAGUGGUAGGGGAGCGUUCUGUAAGUCUGCGAAGGUGUAUCGAGAGGUAUGCUGGAGAUAUCAGAAGUGCGAAUGCUGACGUAAGUAACGAUAAAGGGGGUGAAAAGCCUCCUCGCCGGAAGACCAAGGGUUCCUGUCCAACGUUAAUCGGGGCAGGGUGAGUCGACCCCUAAGGCGAGGCCGAAAGGCGUAGUCGAUGGGAAGCAGGUUAAUAUUCCUGCACGACUUGUAAUUGCGAUGGGGGGACGGAGAAGGCUAGGUGGGCCAGGCGACGGUUGUCCUGGUGAAAGUGCGUAGGUGGUGUUUCUAGGCAAAUCCGGAGACACAACACUGAGACACGAGACGAACACACUACGGUGUGGAAGCCAUUGAUGCCCUGCUUCCAGGAAAAGCCUCUAAGCUUCAGAUUACAAGUCAUCGUACCCCAAACCGACACAGGUGGUCGGGUAGAGAAUACCAAGGCGCUUGAGAGAACUCGGGUGAAGGAACUAGGCAAAAUAGAACCGUAACUUCGGGAGAAGGUUCGCUCUUGAUGGUGAAGUCCCUUGCGGAUGGAGCUGUCGGGAGUCGCAGUGACCAGAUGGCUGGGACUGUUUAUCAAAAACACAGCACUCUGCAAACACGAAAGUGGACGUAUAGGGUGUGACACCUGCCCGGUGCCGGAAGGUUAAUUGAUGGGGUUAGCGCAAGCGAAGCUCUUGAUCGAAGCCCCGGUAAACGGCGGCCGUAACUAUAACGGUCCUAAGGUAGCGAAAUUCCUUGUCGGGUAAGUUCCGACCUGCACGAAUGGUGUAACCAUGGCCAUGCUGUCUCCACCCGAGACUCAGUGAAAUCGAAUUCGCCGUGAAGAUGCGGUGUACCCGCGGCUAGACGGAAAGACCCCGUGAACCUUUACUACAGCUUGGCACUGAACAUUGAACCUACAUGUGUAGGAUAGGUGGGAGGCUUUGAAGGCGUGACGCCAGUUGCGCUGGAGCCGUCCUUGAAAUACCACCCUUGUAUGUUUGAUGUUCUAACGCAGGGCCCUGAAUCGGGCUCGCGGACAGUGCCUGGUGGGUAGUUUGACUGGGGCGGUCUCCUCCCAAAGAGUAACGGAGGAGCACGAAGGUUGGCUAAUCCUGGUCGGACAUCAGGAGGUUAGUGCAAUGGCAUAAGCCAGCUUAACUGCGAGACGGACAGGUCGAGCAGGUACGAAAGUAGGUCAUAGUGAUCCGGUGGUUCUGAAUGGAAGGGCCAUCGCUCAACGGAUAAAAGGUACUCCGGGGAUAACAGGCUGAUACCGCCCAAGAGUUCAUAUCGACGGCGGUGUUUGGCACCUCGAUGUCGGCUCAUCACAUCCUGGGGCUGAAGUCGGUCCCAAGGGUAUGGCUGUUCGCCAUUUAAAGUGGUACGCGAGCUGGGUUCAGAACGUCGUGAGACAGUUCGGUCCCUAUCUGCCGUGGGCGUUGGAUGAUUGAAGGGAGUUGCUCCUAGUACGAGAGGACCGGAGUGAACGAACCUCUGGUGUUCGGGUUGUCACGCCAGUGGCACUGCCCGGUAGCUAAGUUCGGAAUCGAUAACCGCUGAAAGCAUCUAAGCGGGAAGCGAGCCCUGAGAUGAGUCAUCCCUGACCCCUUGAGGGUCCUAAAGGGCCGUUGGAGACCACAACGUUGAUAGGUGGGGUGUGUAAGCGCGGCGACGUGUUGAGCUAACCCAUACUAAUUACCCGUGAGGCUUAACCAUACAACACCCAAGAAGUGUUCUG
rnacentral:rRNA from 1 species